rnacentral:rRNA from 1 species
UACGAAGGUGGCAAGCGUUACUCGGAAUUACUAGGCGUAAAGGGCAUGUAGGUGGUUUGGUAAGUCUGUUGUGAAAGCUCCUUGCUUAACGGGGAGAGGUCAACAGAUACUGCCAGGCUUGAGUAUGGGAGAGGGUACUGGAAUUCCUGGUGUAGCGGUGAAAUGCGCAGAGAUCAGGAGGAACACCGAUGGCGAAAGCAGGUACCUGGACCAUUACUGACACUCAGAUGCGAAAGCUAGGGGAGCAAACAGG